GAUGAACGCUGGCGGCGUGCCUAAUACAUGCAAGUCGAGCGAACAGACGAGGAGCUUGCUCCUUUGACGUUAGCGGCGGACGGGUGAGUAACACGUAGGUAACCUACCUAUAAGACUGGGAUAACUUCGGGAAACCGGAGCUAAUACCGGAUAAUAUUUCGAACCGCAUGGUUCGAUAGUGAAAGAUGGCUUUGCUAUCACUUAUAGAUGGACCUGCGCCGUAUUAGCUAGUUGGUAAGGUAACGGCUUACCAAGGCAACGAUACGUAGCCGACCUGAGAGGGUGAUCGGCCACACUGGAACUGAGACACGGUCCAGACUCCUACGGGAGGCAGCAGUAGGGAAUCUUCCGCAAUGGGCGAAAGCCUGACGGAGCAACGCCGCGUGAGUGAUGAAGGUCUUCGGAUCGUAAAACUCUGUUAUUAGGGAUGAACAAACGUGUAAGUAACUGUGCACGUCUUGACGGUACCUAAUCAGAAAGCCACGGCUAACUACGUG
rnacentral:rRNA from 1 species